rnacentral:rRNA from 1 species
GCUGACGAGUGGCGGACGGGUGAGUAAUGUCUGGGAAACUGCCUGAUGGAGGGGGAUAACUACUGGAAACGGUGGCUAAUACCGCAUAACGUCGCAAGACCAAAGAGGGGGACCUUCGGGCCUCUUGCCAUCAGAUGUGCCCAGAUGGGAUUAGCUUGUUGGUGAGGUAACGGCUCACCAAGGCGACGAUCCCUAGCUGGUCUGAGAGGAUGACCAGCCACACUGGAACUGAGACACGGUCCAGACUCCUACGGGAGGCAGCAGUGGGGAAUAUUGCACAAUGGGCGCAAGCCUGAUGCAGCCAUGCCGCGUGUAUGAAGAAGGCCUUCGGGUUGUAAAGUACUUUCAGCGGGGAGGAAGGUGUUGUGGUUAAUAACCGCAGCAAUUGACGUUACCCGCAGAAGAAGCACCGGCUAACUCCGUGCCAGCAGCCGCGGUAAUACGGAGGGUGCAAGCGUUAAUCGGAAUUACUGGGCGUAAAGCGCACGCAGGCGGUCUGUCAAGUCGGAUGUGAAAUCCCCGGGCUCAACCUGGGAACUGCAUUCGAAACUGGCAGGCUUGAGUCUUGUAGAGGGGGGUAGAAUUCCAGGUGUAGCGGUGAAAUGCGUAGAGAUCUGGAGGAAUACCGGUGGCGAAGGCGGCCCCCUGGACAAAGACUGACGCUCAGGUGCGAAAGCGUGGGGAGCAAACAGGAUUAGAUACCCUGGUAGUCCACGCCGUAAACGAUGUCUACUUGGAGGUUGUGCCCUUGAGGCGUGGCUUCCGGAGCUAACGCGUUAAGUAGACCGCCUGGGGAGUACGGCCGCAAGGUUAAAACUCAAAUGAAUUGACGGGGGCCCGCACAAGCGGUGGAGCAUGUGGUUUAAUUCGAUGCAACGCGAAGAACCUUACCUGGUCUUGACAUCCACAGAACUUUCCAGAGAUGGAUUGGUGCCUUCGGGAACUGUGAGACAGGUGCUGCAUGGCUGUCGUCAGCUCGUGUUGUGAAAUGUUGGGUUAAGUCCCGCAACGAGCGCAACCCUUAUCCUUUGUUGCCAGCGGUUAGGCCGGGAACUCAAAGGAGACUGCCAGUGAUAAACUGGAGGAAGGUGGGGAUGACGUCAAGUCAUCAUGGCCCUUACGACCAGGGCUACACACGUGCUACAAUGGCGCAUACAAAGAGAAGCGACCUCGCGAGAGCAAGCGGACCUCAUAAAGUGCGUCGUAGUCCGGAUUGGAGUCUGCAACUCGACUCCAUGAAGUCGGAAUCGCUAGUAAUCGUGGAUCAGAAUGCCACGGUGAAUACGUUCCCGGGCCUUGUACACACCGCCCGUCACACCAUGGGAGUGGGUUGCAAAAGAAGUAGGUAGCUUAACCUUCGGGAGGGCGCUUACCACUUUGUGAUUCAUGACUGGGGUGAAGUCGUAACAAGGUAACCGUAGGGGAACCUGCGGUUGGAUCACCUCCUUACCU